rnacentral:rRNA from 1 species
CAUGGCUCAGGACGAACGCUGGCGGCGUGCUUAACACAUGCAAGUCGAACGAUGAAGCCUUUCGGGGUGGAUUAGUGGCGAACGGGUGAGUAACACGUGGGCAAUCUGCCCUUCACUCUGGGACAAGCCCUGGAAACGGGGUCUAAUACCGGAUAACACUCUGUCCCGCAUGGGACGGGGUUAAAAGCUCCGGCGGUGAAGGAUGAGCCCGCGGCCUAUCAGCUUGUUGGUGGGGUAAUGGCCUACCAAGGCGACGACGGGUAGCCGGCCUGAGAGGGCGACCGGCCACACUGGGACUGAGACACGGCCCAGACUCCUACGGGAGGCAGCAGUGGGGAAUAUUGCACAAUGGGCGAAAGCCUGAUGCAGCGACGCCGCGUGAGGGAUGACGGCCUUCGGGUUGUAAACCUCUUUCAGCAG